rnacentral:tRNA from 1 species
GUGCUGGUAGUGUAAUGGAUAUCAUGCAAGAUUCCGAUUCUUGCGAUGGGGGUUCGAUUCCCCCCCGGCGCA